ACCACGUCUCUGGAUCUCUCUCUCUCUCUCUCUGAGUGUCUGUGACUCAUUUUUUAAUUAUAUUUUUAUUGGAUAAACUCUUUCUUUAAUACCAAGAUUCUCUCUUCUCCAACUGAUUCUUCAUCCUUUGUCAACCCAUCUUCUUCUCUCGUGAUCAGCCCAUCACCAUGUCUCUAGUGCAUUUGAUGCUUGGAUCAUUGGUGAGGCUUGUGACUGCACUGAUAGCUCGGCCGGCAGCCACCAUCACAACCUUGCUCUACCACAGCGAUCUUCUCCCCCGAAAUUUCGACUCAGAGCGAUUACAGCGAUUGGUUCGACGUGAGUACCUUCUUGUUCAAGAAAAUUACCUUUUUAGUUCUCUCAUCAACGUUUUGAGAUGCUUUUGGUAGCACCUCAUUUGGGUUGGCCAAUGUGAUCGGGGUUUUUUGUAUGCAUAAAAAUAGGGUAUUGGGAUCGAAUGUAGAGACAAGCAACAUAUAGUGUUGAAUUUACUUUUGAAGAAUUGCAAUGGUAACCCGGGAAUUUCCCCUUGCGAUAAAUGCUCAUUUUGCUUGGUUGACCCUCA